AUUGAACGCUGGCGGAAUGCUUUACACAUGCAAGUCGAACGGUAGAGGGGGCAACCCCUCGAGAGUGGCGAACGGGUGAGUAAUAUAUCGGAACGUGCCCAGUCGUGGGGGAUAACGUAGCGAAAGUUACGCUAAUACCGCAUACGAUCUAAGGAUGAAAGCGGGGGAUCGCAAGACCUCGCGCGAUUGGAGCGGCCGAUAUCAGAUUAGGUAGUUGGUGGGGUAAAGGCUCACCAAGCCAACGAUCUGUAGCUGGUCUGAGAGGACGACCAGCCACACUGGAACUGAGACACGGUCCAGACUCCUACGGGAGGCAGCAGUGGGGAAUUUUGGACAAUGGACGCAAGUCUGAUCCAGCCAUUCCGCGUGCAGGAUGAAGGCCCUCGGGUUGUAAACUGCUUUUGUACGGAACGAAAAGGUCUCUCUUAAUACGGGGGACUCAUGACGGUACCGUAAGAAUAAGUACCUGCUAAUCUCGUGCCAGCCGCCGCCGUAA
rnacentral:rRNA from 1 species